GACGAACGCUGGCGGCGUGCUUAACACAUGCAAGUCGAGCGGUAAGGCCCUUUCGGGGGUACACGAGCGGCGAACGGGUGAGUAACACGUGGGUGACCUGCCCUCAGCUCUGGGAUAAGCCUGGGAAACCGGGUCUAAUACUGGAUAUGACUCCAUGACGCAUGUUGUGGGGUGGAAAGCCUUGUGCGGCUGAGGAUGGGCCCGCGGCCUAUCAGCUUGUUGGUGGGGUGANGGCCUACCAAGGCGACGACGGGUAGCCGGCCUGAGAGGGCGACCGGCCACACUGGGACUGAGACACGGCCCAGACUCCUACCGGGAGGGCAGCAGUGGGGAAGUCUUGCGCAAUGGGCGAAAGCCUGACGCAGCGACGCCGCGUGAGGGAUGACGGCCUCGG
rnacentral:rRNA from 1 species